rnacentral:tRNA from 1 species
GGAGGGUGUAGCUCAGUGGUAGAGUGCAUGCUUAGCAUGCAUGAGGUCCUGGGUUCAAUCCCCAGUACCUCCA